GUGCCUGCUUCAGCAGCACAUAUCUAAAAUUAGAAUACAGAGAUUAGCCUGACCCCUGUGCAAAGAUGACAUGCAAAUUUGUGAAACAUUCCCUAUUUUU
rnacentral:snRNA from 1 species